AACGAACGUUAGCGGCGCGCCUAACACAUGCAAGUCGAGCGAGAAUGGGCUUCGGCCCUAGUACAGCGGCGCACGGGUGAAUAACACGUAGGCAACCUACCCUCGAGUGGUGGAUAACCCUCCGAAAGGAGGGCUAAUACAGCAUCAGACCACGUCUCCUUCGGGAGGCGUGGCCAAAGCAGGCCUCUUCAUGAAAGCUUGCGCUCGAGGAUGGGCCUGCGGCCCAUCAGCUAGUUGGCGGGGUAACGGCCCACCAAGGCAAAGACGGGUAGCUGGUCUGAGAGGAUGAACGGCCACACUGGAACUGAAACACGGUCCAGACUCCUACGGGAGGCAGCAGUGGGGAAUCUUGCGCAAUGGGCGAAAGCCUGACGCAGCGACGCCGCGUGAGCGAUGAAGGCCUUCGGGUUGUAAAGCUCUGUGGGGAGGGAAGAAUCAGGUAGGGCUAACACUCCUAUCGACGACGGUACCUCCUUAGCAAGCACCGGCUAACUCUGUGCCAGCAGCCGCGGUAA
rnacentral:rRNA from 1 species